rnacentral:rRNA from 1 species
AGCGAACGCUGGCGGCAGGCCUAACACAUGCAAGUCGAACGAUCCUUCGGGAUAGUGGCGGACGGGUGGGUAACACGUGGGAACGUGCCCUUUGGUUCGGAACAACUCAGGGAAACUUGAGCUAAUACCGGAUGUGCCCUUCGGGGGAAAGAUUUAUCGCCAUUGGAGCGGCCCGCGUAGGAUUAGCUAGUUGGUGGGGUAAUGGCCCACCAAGGCUCCGAUCCUUAGCUGGUCUGAGAGGAUGACCAGCCACACUGGGACUGAGACACGGCCCAGACUCCUACGGGAGGCAGCAGUGGGGAAUCUUAGACAAUGGGCAGAAGCCUGAUCUAGCCAUGCCGCGUGAUCGAUGAAGGCCUUAGGGUUGUAAAGAUCUUUCAGGUGGGAAGAUAAUGACUGUACCACCAGAAGAAGCCCCGGCUAACUCCGUGCCAGCCGCCGCGGUAACAC